rnacentral:lncRNA from 1 species
GGUAUGAAAAUUUCUCCAACCGAAUUAGAAAGAGAGUAAUUGGAAAUAAAGGAGAACAAAGGAGGAAACUAAGCUUGAUUCUUGAGCAAAUCCUCUUGGAUUUCUUAAGCUUGAGUUUGAGAAAAGGAAGAGAGGUGUUGAGACUGAAAAAAAAUGUUUGAAACUGAUGAAGAAAGAGUUUUUAAAAGGUAUUGGGGGGGUUUUGGGAAAAGGAAAUGAUGAAAUCAA